GAUGAAGAACGUAGCGAAAUGCGAUAAGUAGUGCGAAUUGCAGAAUUCAGUGAAUCAUCGAAUCUUUGAACGCACAUUGCGCCUCCUGGUAUUCCGGGAGGCAUGCCUGUUCGAGCGUCAUUAAAAUCACUCAAGCUUAGGUUUACCUAUUGCUUGGUCUUGGAGAUGGAAGCCAAUUCAUUGGAAUCCUCUUCGAAAUCCAAUGGCGAAGACCCUUGCUCUCCCAAGUGUAGUAAUAACUUAUGUCACUGAAGGAAGCGAGAAAUCUUCCGCCGUAACCCCCAUAUUUUCUAUGAUUGACCUCGGAUCAGGUAGGGAUACCCGCUGAACUUAAGCAUAUCAAUAAGCGGAGGA
rnacentral:misc_RNA from 1 species